UUGCCCUAGUAACGGCGAGUGAAGCGGCAACAGCUCAAAUUUGAAAUCUGGCUCUUUAGGGCCCGAGUUGUAAUUUGUAGAGGAUGCUUUUGGCGCGGUGCCUUCCGAGUUCCCUGGAACGGGACGCCUUAGAGGGUGAGAGCCCCGUACGGUUGGACACCAAGCCUCUGUAAAGCUCCUUCGACGAGUCGAGUAGUUUGGGAAUGCUGCUCUAAAUGGGAGGUAAAUUUCUUCUAAAGCUAAAUAUUGGCCAGAGACCGAUAGCGCACAAGUAGAGUGAUCGAAAGAUGAAAAGCACUUUGAAAAGAGGGUUAAAUAGCACGUGAAAUUGUUGAAAGGGAAGCGUUUGCGACCAGACCUUUUCCUAGCGGAUCAUCCGGUGUUCUUCGCCGGUGCACUUCGCUAGGUCGAGGCCAGCAUCGGUUUCUGCAGGGGGAUAAAAGCCCAGGGAACGUAGCUCUUUCGGGAGUGUUAUAGCCCUCCGCAUAAUACCCUUGCGGGGACCGAGGACCGCGCUUUUUGCAAGGAUGCUGGCGUAAUGGUCGUCAACGACCCGUCUUGAAACACGGACCAAGGAGUCGAACAUUUAUGCGAGUGUUUGGGUGUUAAACCCUCACGCGUAAUGAAAGUGAACGGAGGUGAGAGCCCUUACGGGUGCAUCAUCGACCGAUCCUGAUGUCUUCGGAUGGAUUUGAGUAAGAGCAUAACUGUUCGGACCCGAAAGAUGGUGAACUAUGCGUGGAUAGGGUGAAGCCAGAGGAAACUCUGGUGGAGGCUCGCAGCGGUUCUGACGUGCAAAUCGAUCGUCAAAUCUGCGCAUGGGGGCGAAAGACUUAUCG
rnacentral:rRNA from 1 species